rnacentral:rRNA from 1 species
GGACUACAGGGGUAUCUAAUCCCGUUUGCUACCCUAGCUUUCGUGCAUCAGCGUCAGAAGAGACCCAGUAAGCCGCUUUCGCCACCGGUGUUCCUGAGGAUAUCAACGCAUUUCACCGCUCCACCCUCAGUUCCGCUUACCUCUGUCUCCCUCGAGCACGGUAGUUUUGAACGCAGUUCCUCAGUUAAGCUGAGGUAUUUCACGCCCAACUUUCCGCACAGCCUACGCACCCUUUAAGCCCAGUAAUUCCGAAUAACGUUCGUACGGUUCGUCUUACCGCGGCUGCUGGCAC